UGGGGAAUUUUGGACAAUGGGCGAAAGCCUGAUCCAGCAAUGCCGCGUGUGUGAAGAAGGCCUUCGGGUUGUAAAGCACUUUUGUCCGGAAAGAAAUCCUUGGCUCUAAUACAGUCGGGGGAUGACGGUACCGGAAGAAUAAGCACCGGCUAACUACGUGCCAGCAGCCGCGGUAAUACGUAGGGUGCAAGCGUUAAUCGGAAUUACUGGGCGUAAAGCGUGCGCAGGCGGUUUGCUAAGACCGAUGUGAAAUCCCCGGGCUCAACCUGGGAACUGCAUUGGUGACUGGCAGGCUAGAGUAUGGCAGAGGGGGGUAGAAUUCCACGUGUAGCAGUGAAAUGCGUAGAGAUGUGGAGGAAUACCGAUGGCGAAGGCAGCCCCCUGGGCCAAUACUGACGCUCAUGCACGAAAGCGUGGGGAGCAAAACAGGAUUAGAUACCCUGGUAGUCCACG
rnacentral:rRNA from 1 species